rnacentral:rRNA from 1 species
GGCGCACGGGUGCGUAACACGUGGGUAAUCUGCCCAGAAGCCCGGAAUAACUCCCCGAAAGGGGUGCUAAUGCCGGAUGAGACCACGGGGACCUCGGUUCCUGGGGGAAAAGGUGGCCUCUGUAUACAAGCUAUCACUUCUGGAUGAGCCCGCGGCCCAUCAGCUAGUUGGCGGGGUAAUGGCCCACCAAGGCUACGACGGGUAGCUGGUCUGAGAGGACGAUCAGCCACACUGGAACUGAGACACGGUCCAGACUCCUACGGGAGGCAGCAGUGGGGAAUCUUGCGCAAUGGGCGAAAGCCUGACGCAGCAACGCCGCGUGUGUGAUGAAGGUCUUCGGAUCGUAAAGCACUGUCGGGAGGGACGAAUAAGGGCCGGGUGAACAAUCCGGUCUGACGACGGUACCUCCAGAGGAAGCACCGGCUAACUCUGUGCCAGCAGCCGCGGUAAUACAGAGGGUGCUAGCGUUGUUCGGAAUUAUUGGGCGUAAAGCGCGUGUAGGCGGCCGGCCAAGUCGGAUGUGAAAGCCCUCGGCUUAACCGAGGAAGUGCGUUCGAUACUAGUUGGCUCGAGUACC